UCGAAGGGGGCUAGCGUUGCUCGGAAUCACUGGGCGUAAAGCGCACGUAGGCGGAUUGUUAAGUCAGGGGUGAAAUCCUGGAGCUCAACUCCAGAACUGCCUUUGAUACUGGAGAGCUUGAGUCCGGGAGAGGUGAGUGGAACUCCGAGUGUAGAGGUGAAAUUCGUAGAUAUUCGGAAGAACACCAGUGGCGAAGGCGACUUACUGGACACAUAUUGACGCUGAGGUGCGAAAGCGUGGGGAGCAAACAGG
rnacentral:rRNA from 1 species